rnacentral:rRNA from 1 species
UACGAAGGGGGCUAGCGUUGCUCGGAAUUACUGGGCGUAAAGGGCGCGUAGGCGGGUCGUUUAGUUAGAGGUGAAAGCCCAGGGCUCAACCCUGGAAUAGCCUUUAAUACUGGCGGCCUUGAGUAUGGCAGAGGUGUGUGGAACUCCGAGUGUAGAGGUGAAAUUCGUAGAUAUUCGGAAGAACACCAGUGGCGAAGGCGACACACUGGGCCAUUACUGACGCUGAGGCGCGAAAGCGUCGGGAGCAAACAGG